AAACCAUGGUGUGGACAUUGAGCUUGGUAGCCCUUGAAUCUCUCUCCAAGCUUCACUGAAGCCUUCCAAGCCUUUCUGUUGAAACUGGAGAUCUCAUUUCUCAGCUU
rnacentral:snoRNA from 1 species